AACGCACCUUGCGCUCCCUGGUAUUCCGGGGAGCACGCCUGUUCGAGUGUCGUGAAAACUAUCUCAAGUCUAGGAUGCAUUUUGCCCCCUAGCUCUUGGUAAUUGGGCUUUGCAGUGUCCCUUCUGCGGAAACGGCUGGCCUUAAAAGUAUUUGCUUGGCCCCUUAUGUAGUUUAUUGGUAUUCUGCUUGGCGUGAUAAUCUGACCGCUGGCAUGGAUAUCCGAUCUUCACUUGGGGGUUGCUCUCUAAUAAUUGGAGCUUCGGUUCCGUUUUCAACUUUGGCCUCGAAUCAGGUGGGACUACCCGCUGAACUUA
rnacentral:rRNA from 1 species